AGGCUGUGGCUGUCCUACCGCCUUCUCUAGGCAUCCCCAUCCACCCCAAGAGACCCGGCUCCUUCCUCUGUGUCGUCCUUCCCUCCUUCCUGUGGGCAGACUCCACCGAUCUCUUUCUGUCCUUCACCUCCCAUUAAAGGUCACAGGGCCCCUUGCAAUGCUAGCACUUUGCUACGGACCAUUUCUGAAAGAUAAAGGAGAAAUCUUGUGACUUCUGCUCCAGUGAUCUGGCCAGACCCACGGGUGAGGGGCUGAGAAGCUUCAAAUCAAAUCAGACGUGAGAGCUAAAUGAAUUGGGGUGUUCUUGGCAAGGCUUCUCUGAAACAUAGAAACAGAUGUAAAAAAGAGGCACAGAAGAAACAGCAGUGCCUCAGCUGCUCCUAAUGAGAGCCCCAGCAGGGAGCUGGUUAACCCUGCUCAGGGGCUUGCAGGCUCCAGGCUAACCAGAGGAGAACCCAAAAAUGCAGUGUCAGCACAUGCAAGCAUUAAAAUGGCUCUUACCAACCUUGGGAGCCGCCGCCACACGCUGCUGGUAUUGUGCUGUGGAACGUAUCGCACAGCCUAGCAAGGCUUCGCUGUCUGUCUUGUGAGCUCGUGUGCAGUAACCAUGAAAUGAUCAGUUCAGCCAUUUUUGGCAGAGCUUAACUAGAGAACAUGCCUGAGAAAACGCAUGGACAGUCACUGUUACCAGUGCGGCCUGCGCUGGCAUGAAAUUCAAAGUAUAUGAAGGAUUCAAGAAGAGUCAUUUUCCAACGGUGCCAGGUUUGGGGUCUGUCUUGCUGCACCAACGGUGCCAGCAAACUCUUUACUGAAAGAAAAAAAAUAGAAAAUAUGUCAUAAGAUCCUCCUCAGCAGAAAGGUUGCUGCUGCCCUCUGAAUACUGGUUGGAAAAAUUCCCAUGCACUUCAAGUGCCUGUGGUUAUAUUAGUCAUGCGACGAUGAGAAAAUAGUCUGCUCCGGGGGCUAGGCUGGCUGUGGCUGGGGGAGU